GUGUUGUGUGAAAGGAGAGAAGGUGAGCACGCCCCUCGACACGGAUGGACGAGCCCUCGGGCCUAACAACACGCAUAUGGUUAAGGCGUUGCCACCUACAUCCUGGCAUCUAACCGUCGUUUUUU
rnacentral:ncRNA from 1 species